rnacentral:rRNA from 1 species
AUUGAACGCUGGCGGCAUGCCUAACACAUGCAAGUCGAACGGGGCAGCAAUGCCUAGUGGCGGACGGGUGAGGAAUACGUAGGAAUCUGCCCUUAAGUGGGGGAUAACCAGGGGAAACCCUGACUAAUACCGCAUGAUCUCUUCGGAGCAAAGAGGGGGACCGCAAGGCCUCUCGCUUCUGGAUGAGCCUACGUCUGAUUAGCUAGUUGGUAGGGUAAAGGCCUACCAAGGCGACGAUCAGUAACUGGUCUGAGAGGAUGAUCAGUCACACCGGAACUGAGACACGGUCCGGACUCCUACGGGAGGCAGCAGUGGGGAAUAUUGGACACUGGGCGCAAGCCUGAUCCAGCAAUGCCGCGUGUGUGAAGAAGGCCUUCGGGUUGUAAAGCACUUUAGCCUGGAAAGAAAAAACUUUGGUUAACACCCAAAGUCUUGACGGUACCAGGAGAAUAAGCACCGGCUAACCCUGUGCCAGCCGCCGCUGUAAUAC